CAGUAGCGCGGGAAUACGAAGGGGGCUAGCGUUGUUCGGAAUUACUGGGCGUAAAGCGCACGUAGGCGGAUAUUUAAGUCAGGGGUGAAAUCCCAGAGCUCAACUCUGGAACUGCCUUUGAUACUGGGUAUCUUGAGUAUGGAAGAGGUGAGUGGAAUUCCGAGUGUAGAGGUGAAAUUCGUAGAUAUUCGGAGGAACACCAGUGGCGAAGGCGGCUCACUGGUCCAUACUGGACGCUGAGGUGCGAAAGCGUGGGGAGCAAACAGGAUUAGAUACCCCCGUAGUCCCUGUCUCUUAUACA
rnacentral:rRNA from 1 species